rnacentral:rRNA from 1 species
CACGUAGGCACCAAGCGUUGUCCGGAUUUAUUGGGCGUAAAGAGCUCGUAGGCGGUUCGGUAAGUCGGGUGUGAAAACUUUGGGCUCAACCCAAAGCGUGCACUCGAUACUGCUGUGACUAGAGUUCGGUAGGGGAGUGGGGAAUUCCUAGUGUAGCGGUGAAAUGCGCAGAUAUUAGGAGGAACAACGGUGGCGAAGGCGCCACUCUGGGCCGAAACUGACGCUGAGGAGCGAAAGCGUGGGUAGCAAACAGG